rnacentral:rRNA from 1 species
AAGGACCUUCGGGUUGUAAAGCACUUUCAGUAGGGAGGAAGGUAGUGUAGUUAACACCUGCAUUAUUUGACGUUACCUACAGAAGAAGCACCGGCUAACUCCGUGCCAGCAGCCGCGGUAAUACGGAGGGUGCGAGCGUUAAUCGGAAUUACUGGGCGUAAAGCGCAUGCAGGCGGCCUGUUAAGUCAGAUGUGAAAGCCCGGGGCUUAACCUCGGAAUUGCAUUUGAAACUGGCAGGCUAGAGUCUUGUAGAGGGGGGUAGGAAUUUCAGGUGUAGCGGUGAAAUGCGUAGAGAUCUCGAAGGAAUACCAGUGGCGAAGGCGGCCCCCUCGGACAAAGACUGACGCUCAGAUGCGAAAGCGUGGGGAGCAAACAGGAUUAGAUACCCCUGGUAG